rnacentral:rRNA from 1 species
UACGGAGGGUGCAAGCGUUAUCCGGAUUCACUGGGUUUAAAGGGUGUGUAGGCGGACUUUUAAGUCCGUGGUGAAAUCUCCGGGCUCAACCCGGAAACUGCCAUGGAUACUAUUUGUCUUGAAUGUUGUUGAGGUGGGCGGAACGGGUCAUGUAGCGGUGAAAUGCAUAGAUAUGACCAGGAACACCGAUUGCGAAGGCAGCCCACUAAGCAAUGAUUGACGCUGAGGCACGAAAGCGUGGGGAUCAAACAGG